GGAAAGGCGCGCGAUACAGGGUGACAGCCCCGUACACAAAAAUGCACAUGCUGUGAGCUCGAUGAGUAGGGCGGGACACGUGGUAUCCUGUCUGAAUAUGGGGGGACCAUCCUCCAAGGCUAAAUACUCCUGACUGACCGAUAGUGAACCAGUACCGUGAGGGAAAGGCGAAAAGAACCCCGGCGAGGGGAGUGAAAAAGAACCUGAAACCGUGUACGUACAAGCAGUGGGAGCACGCUUAGGCGUGUGACUGCGUACCUUUUGUAUAAUGGGUCAGCGACUUAUAUUCUGUAGCAAGGUUAACCGAAUAGGGGAGCCGAAGGGAAACCGAGUCUUAACUGGGCGUUAAGUUGCAGGGUAUAGACCCGAAACCCGGUGAUCUAGCCAUGGGCAGGUUGAAGGUUGGGUAACACUAACUGGAGGACCGAACCGACUAAUGUUGAAAAAUUAGCGGAUGACUUGUGGCUGGGGGUGAAAGGCCAAUCAAACCGGGAGAUAGCUGGUUCUCCCCGAAAGCUAUUUAGGUAGCGCCUCGUGAAUUCAUCUCCGGGGGUAGAGCACUGUUUCGGCAAGGGGGUCAUCCCGACUUACCAACCCGAUGCAAACUGCGAAUACCGGAGAAUGUUAUCACGGGAGACACACGGCGGGUGCUAACGUCCGUCGUGAAGAGGGAAACAACCCAGACCGCCAGCUAAGGUCCCAAAGUCAUGGUUAAGUGGGAAACGAUGUGGGAAGGCCCAGACAGCCAGGAUGUUGGCUUAGAAGCAGCCAUCAUUUAAAGAAAGCGUAAUAGCUCACUGGUCGAGUCGGCCUGCGCGGAAGAUGUAACGGGGCUAAACCAUGCACCGAAGCUGCGGCAGCGACGCUGAUGCGUUGUUGGGUAGGGGAGCGUUCUGUAAGCCUGCGAAGGUGUGCUGUGAGGCAUGCUGGAGGUAUCAGAAGUGCGAAUGCUGACAUAAGUAACGAUAAAGCGGGUGAAAAGCCCGCUCGCCGGAAGACCAAGGGUUCCUGUCCAACGUUAAUCGGGGCAGGGUGAGUCGACCCCUAAGGCGAGGCCGAAAGGCGUAGUCGAUGGGAAACAGGUUAAUAUUCCUGUACUUGGUGUUACUGCGAAGGGGGGACGGAGAAGGCUAUGUUGGCCGGGCGACGGUUGUCCCGGUUUAAGCGUGUAGGCUGGUUUUCCAGGCAAAUCCGGAAAAUCAAGGCUGAGGCG
rnacentral:rRNA from 1 species